ensembl:lncRNA
GCAAAGCGGCUUUAAGAUCCUCCUGGGUUUUGAACAUCACAAUGGGUGUGAGGUCAUCUUAAACGGUGAAGAUUUUGGCGGCUAGGAAAGAAAAAAAAAAAAACGACUUCAAGUCUCUUAAGGUUUAUCCAGUUUUUGCUCAUAAAAUGACACCUUUUAGGUUAAAGCAUGCCUCUUUUAACACCACACUAAUACUGCCUGUUAAGAAUGUUUGCUUUUAGAGUCGAUGGAAGGCUCCCAAUGGGGUUUUUUGCUCUCAAAUUAACUGCUAAAGGCACUUAGACCCUUCUGUGGGGAGAGCGAGGUGGUUGCUCCUGUAAAUGUGUCCCCUUCCUCUCGUCAGCAUGGCCUCGUCCUUCAGAGCUCUCGCAGACUGAAGAGCACUGGUCUUUAGUGAGGGAACAAAGACUGCAUAUGAAUAAAUUACUACCUGCUUUUUUGUAAGCAAAGAUGAAAGGGUUCUGUUUUGUUCCUUUCACACUGUGGUGCGUCCUAAGGUAGUAGAUUCUUACCUAAGAAUUUUAGAGGCUCAAGGAUCUUUCAGGAGGUACAUCUUCGCAGAAAAUAGGUGAAAGAAAGUGUGUAUGGAAGGGCAUGUGUGGAGUUGAGGAAAAACACUGGUGGGAGUUUGGUGUUAAUCCCUAGAUGAGGAGCAGAAAGACUUGUGAAAAUUGACUUCAGUUUAUCAAACAAAAUUAGUCUAUACAAUAUGCAACACCUAAUCUUUUAAAGUAGGUUUGUGAGAAUCUUGGCAAGAAACAAAAGCCCUAUUGACAACAUCUUACCCAUUAAAAGUAGGUUUGUUUUUUUUUAAUGUGCUUGAUAGAAAAUAGUGAUAUUAGCAAUAGUGAUAUUAGUUCUCUGGACAGAACUACAGGAGUCUAACAGCUGUAGGUUUGAACCCUGUAAUUAUACUGGGAAAUUCUCUUCUAACUCUCCCAUCUUUAAUUUCACUGAAAAGGCAGGUGGCUAUUUAUAGAUAGUAUAUUUUUGUAUAUGCAUAUGUGGACGGUGAAUAACAGUCUAACAGGGCUUCAGGAAAUCCUACGUGUGGGUCUGUUCUAUUUUUCUCUUAUUUCACUCUCAGUGACAUUAAUGUAAUUUAAUAAAACUUGGUUCUUCAACUCUUACUUUUCAACUUGUAACAUUUCUUACCUCUGAAUCUAUAUUCCUCACAUUUCAUAAAAAAGUAAACUAGUUAAAAGGGUACCAUUAAAAUGUCAAGUCUUUGGUAAACACACAUUGUGCCUCUUACUCUCUGGUUGAAAAAAAAAAAGUUCUAAUUGGAAUUUUCUCAAUUAGUACCACAGUGGUGGAAAAAAGGAAUUUUGACCAAGACAAUUGUUUAUUAUAAGUGAUCCAGUCCAAGAAGUACUAACCAAGCAGCCACUAUAGAAAACGUGCUUUCCCAGGGGCUGGAGGGAUUCAAGAUAAAAAAAAAGACACUCCACCUGAGAUCGGUUCCUUCAUCUCCAGAGGCCUUUCUUUCAUCAGCUGAAGAUGACAUCUGAGAUGAAGACCUU